UAGGGAAUCUUCCNNANNGGACGCNNGUCUGACGGAGCAACGCCGCGUGAGUNCAGNAGGUUUUCGGAUCGUAAAACUCUGUUGUUAGAGAAGAACAAGUGCUAGAGUAACUGUUAGCGCCUUGACGGUAUCUAACCAGAAAGCCACGGCUAACUACGUGCCAGCAGCCGCGGUAAUACGUAGGUGGCAAGCGUUGUCCGGAUUUAUUGGGCGUAAAGCGAGCGCAGGCGGNUCCUUAAGUCUGAUGUGAAAAGCCCCCGGCUCAACCGGGGAGGGUCAUUGGAAACUGGGGAAUUUGAGUGCAGAAGAGGGAGAGUGGAAUUCCAUGUGUAGCGGGUGAAAUGCGUAGAUAUAUGGAGGAACACCAGUGGCGAAGGCGACUCUCUGGGUCUGUAACUGACGCUGAGGCUCGAAAAGCGUGGGUAGCAAACAGGAUUAGAUACCCUGGUAGUCCCACGCCGUAAACGAUGAGUGCUAAGUGUUGGGGGGGGUUUCCGCCCUUCAGUGCUGCAGUUAACGCAUUAAGCACUCCCGCCUGGGGAGUACGACCGCAAGGUUG
rnacentral:rRNA from 1 species